GUCCACUGACAAACUCCCUGUUGAGCUGUCGUGUUUGGGCCACUGAACCACGGUGAUGGAGCUGAGGGCUUGCAGCUGGAG